rnacentral:sRNA from 1 species
GCUGGGUGCAGUGGCCCACGCCUGUCAUCCCAGCAGCUCAGGAGGCUGAGGCAGGAGGAUCACAAAGUGGAGGCCAGCCUCAGCAACUCAGCGAGAACCUGUCUCUA